GCUUUAUUUCUAUUUCAUACGCCGGCGAACGGCGAACAAAACAGUACAAGGUGGUCAUACUUGUACGAAUUUUAUGUGUUUUAGUAAAUAAAGUUACUUUUUACUUUAAAAUUUUGUUAUGGUCACUCUAAUAUCUGUUACUCCUAUAAAAAUACAUAAUUAAUACGUUUAUUUAUUUGUAUAAUUGCGCCUGAGUGAAGAUAUAUGGAGCCGCUGGAGUUUUUAGAUGGCUACAAAGAUGCACGAACACCUACUGCGACAUGUCUAUGUUUUUGUCGUUGUUGUAGUUCUUCUUUUGCUUUAUAAUUUUACCCUGCAAGCAAUAAAUAUCACGCAGAAUCUUAGAAAUCACUUCAGCGUUGUGUUUUUAACAUUUAAUCAUUAUGCCCUAACUUGAUAAACGCACCAGUAGUCGGCACUUUCAGGCUUUUCGAUUUUUCAAUCUUUCAACAUUCUGAGUGAAAUCUUUAAAUUGCAGAAAAAUAAAGUUGUUCGGAUUCCAAAAUUUGUUUACUUUUAGAAAUAAUAAACAAAAAUUUAAUUUGUU